UUAAAUCAACCCACCGAGAAAGACGGGAACGUUAAACAGUGUAAUAUGACUACUGGACGCGAGGGGCGAGCGAGAGCGAAAUGCAGGAAGUUUUCCACGUAUUAAAGCAGGGGGGUCCAAACUUUUUCCACUGAGGGCCACAGACAGAAAAAUAUGCGAAAGGUUGAGCCGCUCACUAAAGUUAAGGUAUAUCACCUCUAGUGUAUUAACAGUAAUACAAAUCAAUCAAUCAAAUGUAGGUAAAUUAUGCUUGAUAAUUUAUUAUACUUACAGAAAAAACUGCAUACAUCACAUCUUUCUAUGUAUGGGUUUUCAUUUUUUUUACAAAAAGGGUUGGCAGCUCAUCCUCAGAUUGCUUCUUCGUCAGGAUGGGGACCCCCUUCACAGCCCUGUAUAAAGAGGAAAGGCUUUAUUUAACCUACUUAUGCAAAUCAUUCAUCAGCUAACGUGUUUUAGAAAAUGUGAUCAACUUUAAUUGGCUGCAUUUAUUAAGUAAUUGGGCUUUUGAACACAUAAAUACUGUGUAAUAUAUUUGAACUCGCCUACAAUGGGAACAGUGUUGCACUUAAUGGGAGCAGUGAUGCUGCUCUGGACUGAAGGACGGCUGGCAGGUCACGAGUAAGUUUGCUGGUUGAGAUGUGAAGGACAUCACAGAGAUGGCUGUCGCUCAUUUUGGUUCUCAAUCUGCUUUUGUUCAGAGUUCACAGAGAAAAUGUUUGCUCGCAUAUGUAUGUUGUGCCAAACAGACUGGUCAUUCUUUUUGCGUGGCGUCGCGUCAGAGGAAACUUGGCCUUUUCCAAGCUCCGGUAGAAGUCGGGUAGGGAGAGGAGCUGCAUCUCGAUGAGUUCUAAUUGCAGACUCUCUUCCACUUCUUCUGCAUCCAGCAGGAAGGGAGUUGAGAACAGCUUGAUUUCUUUCUCAAUGACAGAAACAUCUUGGAAGCGCUGAUUGAAUUGUGUCAUAAGAGUUGUGAUCACAGAAACAUAUUUCCCCUUUUUAGCAGAGAGGUCGGCCUUUGGAUGAGCACGUUUGAUUUCGGACAGCGUAGGGAAGUGCGCAAGGUUGAAGUUGCGUAGUUGUGUCUCAAAAAGACGAAGCUUCGCACAGAAAGUUGUGGCACAAGCUGGUCUCUGCCUUUUAGGCUCUUGUUCAGUGAGUUCAGAUGACCAGUAAGAUCAACUAGAAAGGCAAUAAGGGAAUAAAACCGCUUCAGCACGGAGCCGCGACUAAGCCAGCGCACGUCACAAUGAUAGAGUACGUCCCCGUAUUCAGCAUCGACAUCAGAUAGGAAAGCUUAGUUCUCUGUGGUAGAGCCCUCGUGCUCGAAUUAUGUUGACAGUUUUCACAACUGUGGUCAUCACAUCGCCAAGCUGGACUGUCUUGGCACAGAGAGCUUCUUGGUGGAUGAUACAGUGCAAUUUUACAGCCUCGCCUCCACUCUCUGGCACCUUGGCGCACACCAUAGAUGCCAUUCCUUUGGGCUCGCCUGUCAUAGCGGGAGCCCCGUUCGUUGCAACUCCACACAGCUCGUCCCAUUUAAGUUCCAUCUUGUCAAUUGCACCUGACGCGGCUUCAAAAAUGUCCUCCCCCGUUGUUGUGCCCUUUAGACUCCGAAGAUCAAGCAGCUCCUCCGUGAUGCAAAAGUCAUCGUCAACUCCCCGUUCCAUUCAACGCACAAUUGUGUUUGUGGACAUGCUCACGUUGUUGAAUUCCUGCAUCUUUUCCGGGCACAUUAUUCCAGCGACUUUAAUGAGGCACUGUUUAACCAAGUCAGCGUCUGAGAAAGCUUUCCCGCGGCGCGCUAUGAGUUGAGCUACCUCAUAGCUAGCUAUUGUAGCGUUUUCUUGUGUGUUGUUAGCAGGGUAAAAGUACUGUUGUUGAGCCUGCAGGUUAGCUGCCAUGUGCUGGACUUUGUCCUCUUGCUCAGCAGCAGUGUAGGACGUGAAGGUCGGAUGCUUGGUUUCGUAGUGUCGUCGUACAUUGGACUCUUUCAUCACUGCAACCGUUUCAUUGCAAAUCAAACAGACACACUUCUCCUUGACUUCUUUAAAGAAAUAUUCAUUUUCCCACCGUGUUUAAAAUGUUCUGCAUUCACUUGCUAUCUUGCGUUUCUUUGCUUCUGCCAUUUUGUCGUUGCGGAAUUUUUUUAUUUAAACAUUUUUUUUGUGGAAAAGCUGCAUUAGGACUGCAGCUAGUGAGUAGCUCCACCUACUGGUCAAACUAAGAACUACAAUACAGUCAAGGGCAAGUUUCAUGUGUGGGCCACAUUCCAUUCUAUUUUUAUAAUUUGCUGGGCCAAUAAAAAAUGGAUCCCGGGCCGCAGUUGGCCCGCGGGCCGUAUUUUGGACACCCCUGUAUUAAAGCAACGAGGAAGACGACAGUUGCACUGCUAUGGCAACGCCAUCUGUUGCUAGGGACUACGGCUUGGACGAAGGAGGGGGGGGAUACUUAGACGCGGCGCGAGGAGAUUCUGUCCCGCGACCAGCGGAACGUAGAUCAGCAACGUGAAUCAGGAUGGUCGGAUCCAUGUGUGUGCAGUUACAGAACCAACGAUGUGGCUGGCGAUACGAAAUGAAACCACAGGCAAACGGAUCUCACGGCGGAGACCCGGGAAAAGAAAAGAAAAUAAGGAACUAUUCUGACCAUGAGACAUCAUUCAACAGCGUAACACAGUCGGCGCUUUCACUCUCUUACAGCAAACGUAUCACAGCAUCAGAUCAACAGGGGACAUUACGACAUUUGCAGGUACACAUUCAAACAUAAAUCAAAGGUAGCGGAUUCGUUGAUCCGGACUCUAUCGUACCACGUUAUGACUGAACAAAUCACAUAAACAUCAAGUUCAUAUCAACACGCUAAAUUAGUCUGCCCAGAAAACCAGUGUUACUGUUUGAUGGGCGUUGGUCAUCAGCUUCCAGCUGACUGAGGACAGUUGAGCUCCGCGUAGGGAAACUCUGUGGAUGAAGGCGAUUUCGGCCGUGGGGUCCGAACUUCUCGUUGGGAACAGAGGCGGCGAGUCAACAGGAAUGAAAUCAAAAGGGAAAAGGAAGCGGGACGUAGUGGAGCGCGAGUCUUGAGUUCGUCCAGCGAGAUUAAGACUGAAACUUGGGAAUUGGAGGGAAAGAAAAGAAACCAAACAACGUUGUGUUGUCUCGAUCUGUCACUAACGGGAAGUCAGGCGAAAGAGAUCGAUUCUUUGGCGCAAUCUCUUCUUAUGAACUUGAGGUCCAUAAAUAAAUGUCACUGUCCUCGGCCAAUGGGAGCGCUCGGUGUUCUUUGGUACGUCCUCUUUUUAUGGCCAAGGGGGUCUGGAGUGCUGCAGGGGUCCUGUUAUCAGCCCCUGGCAUCAGGCCACGGGGGACCCCUAUAUGUUUGUGUUCUUCCUUUGUCCUCAGUGAAGAAACACGUGGUGAGGUUCAUUAGCAGGGUGGAGGCCCAACAGAAGUAUGAACAUUUAGCAUCCAGACACUCGAUUGGUUUUCUCCGCCAUGCGCCUGCAGAUCAGAGCGACGGCGGGUGUGAAAAGUGGUCGGUGGAAGGAUCCUUUGUCAGAAGCCACAAGCCGAUCUCAGUUGGUAUUUAGCGACAUGGACCCUCUUCCUCCUCCUCAUGCAGAUUCCAUGUAACGUUACAUGAGGACCUUCAUGACCAUGAGUUUGUUGUUUUCUACCUUUAUGGAGAAUCUGCCACAACACAGCGACUUGCAAGUAGCGCAGCGCCUUAAAUAAAGUCACGUGUGUCUUUAUGCGGCUUUAGAAAUGAACACAAAGGGAUUCUGUAUUUGCUCAUAAAGUCUGAAAAACGGCUUAUUUGGCCGAUGUUUUGAUAAGCGACCGAAGCCAGUUCCGUGUUUCCAUCAUUAUAACAGGGGUGCCCCCCCAUGAAGUAGUACAACGGGGAGACACUGCAGUCCACCUGAUCAAUGGGACAACGUGGACGUCCUCCGACUCGCCUCAUUCAGCCUCACUGGAAAAUGGCUUCUGCUUUUAUGUGUUACAGUUGUGUGAUAAAGUGUUUGCUGCCUUCCUGAUUCCUCAUUUCUUUCAUGUUCAGGCAUGAAAAUCCCUCACCUUUUUUUGGGGGGGGGGGGGUAUGGCAGCAAAUCACUGCCAAAAUUCCAGAGCGCAAAUCAGGUUGAUGCGCGUAAAUCAAACAUCCGCGAGCAAAUAAAUAAAUAAACAAAUAAAUAAAUAAAUAUCUCUCGUGAGACGGACUUUUGAACGUGACCUUCGUUGCUCGCGAGGAGAAUCUCUUCUCGCGCUCGAAGGAGUUUUCUACGCGCUCGCUGUUGUUCUUUCUGACAGUAAGGGGGCGGAGCCAGUCACCAUGGUCUCUACACCUGAUUGGUUACAAACCCCGUCUUUGGAUUGGCUGGAGUGAUGCAUUCACACAACUAUAGAAGCCCAUUUCCGCACUGAAGAAAGGGGAUAGAAAGUCUAAAUUAUGAGAUAAAACGUUGUGAAAACACAAACGCCACCUUUAUGUAACCGUAGUGGAGCGUAGAUGACAACCAGCUACAAGCAUCAUUUACCAUCAUUACCGGCACAUUAAGACUGAUGCGUCCAGCUCGCAGACCGGCUGGUGAUUUGCCGCCGUAGCAGUCAAACGUUUGGCGUCGGGGCGGGUGGAUGGGGGUGUGGGGAGGUGGAGAUGGUCCUUUCAGGGUCCGAUGGAUGCUGCGAGGUGCGUCCGCUCCCGCCGCCCCCCUCGCCAUCCACUCCUUAAAUCUUCGGCUGCUUUUAGAAUAACUUAUGUUCCCCGUUAAGAUGGUUCAGCUACUGUAGAGAAAAGGGCGCCGUCUCUCGCUCUUUAAUCUCAUGAAGUGCUCGGCGAGAACGACAGUUUUGUUUCUCCGACGCGCCCUGAAAGCAGCUCCAUAUCUCACGCGCUUGAGCACCGCUCAGCAUCUCACCGUCGUAGACAAACUUUGCCGUGUUUGGCAGAGCGCCUUGAGCGCCGUGUACAACCAGUAUGGAUAAACCGAUUAACCAAUUGAUCCAUAUAUAUAAGGCGCUCCGGAUUAUAAAACACUGUCGCUUUGUGAGGAAAUUAAAGCCUUUUAAGUGCGCCUUGGAGUGCGGACAAUGCGGUAUGUUGACUUUAAUACUACAAGAGGGCGCCGCGUUUGUUAAACAACGACAGGCGGACAAGAGCAGCCGUUUCCAGCGAGAGCCGUAUUGUUUUAUUAAUCUGUUCGUUUAAAUUGUUUGUGCUUCAUCAAUUAAUGUUUCACAUAACUAAUGUGCCGC
ensembl:lncRNA